rnacentral:rRNA from 1 species
GAUGAACGCUGGCGGCGUGCCUAAUACAUGCAAGUCGAGCGAACAGACGAGAGUGCUUGCACUCUCUGACGUUAGCGGCGGACGGGUGAGUAACACGUGGGUAACCUACCUAUAAGACUGGGAUAACUUCGGGAAACCGGAGCUAAUACCGGAUAAUAUUUAGCUUCGCAUGAAGCAAUAGUGAAAGACGGUUCUGCUAUCACUUAUAGAUGGACCCGCGGUGUAUUAGCUAGUUGGUGAGGUAACGGCUCACCAAGGCAACGAUACAUAGCCGACCUGAGAGGGUGAUCGGCCACACUGGGACUGAGACACGGCCCAGACUCCUACGGGAGGCAGCAGUAGGGAAUCUUCCGCAAUGGACGAAAGUCUGACGGAGCAAUGCCGCGUGAGUGAAGAAGGUUUUCGGAUCGUAAAACUCUGUUGUAAGGGAAGAACAAGUACGUUAGUAACUGAACGUACCUUGACGGUACCUUACCAGAAAGCCACGGCUAACUACGUG